rnacentral:misc_RNA from 1 species
AAAUUCUUUGUCUAAAUUGAUUUAGCAUAACUCAGAGCGUCUUGUUCUGAUCAUGGUUUCAAUUGCAAAACUCAAGUAGCAAGUAGGAUAUUUAUUAAUCAUAUAGCUUCCUUCUUCUACCUUCUUAUUGCUUUUGUAUCAGUAUCCUUAAGGAUUGAAAUAUUUUUUGCUAGUUUGCUGAGGGUUGCCAAGUGCCAAGAAUUUUCAACAUAAAGGUAGGCUGUGCAUGGCAUAGUGUGCUUUAGAUGGGACUCCUUGGGGAAUUUAGAUUUGAUACUAUAAGUAUGUGAAUGCAAGCGAGAAUGUUUGUGCACAUUCAUGUUCACCAACACAAGAAUAGGUUGCUUUCAGUCGGUUCUCCAGCUGCUUACACACCUGCCUAUCUUUUAGGAAUUGGCCACUUAGCUCUUAAUGGUAUUUUGGAGGAGACUAUCAGGAAAUAUAAAAGUGAGAUGAUAAUAUAUAUCUUUAACGAUAAUGGUCAAGAGAACUCCAUAUUCUAGUAAUUGCAUAAUUUCUGUAUGGAUUGGAGCUGGCCAGAAUGAAAUAUUUUGCUAACCUGUCAUGCAAAGUAAUAGUUAUGAUGUUCUCCAAUGUGAUCAAAGAAGAUUAAGCUAGGUUUAGAAUUGUAGUCUGAUAGGUAAUCAGAGACACAUUUGUAUAUGUAGAAUUUCUUGAAUAAUAUUUUAAUUGGAUAACAUCAGAGGAUCUGACUCACAAACUCCUCAAGUGAUAAGUUGUUAUCGAUUUUUACUGUUAUGAAGAUCUUCUCAUGGUAAAAAAACAGGCAACUCUCUGUGGAUGUAGGCACACUUCUCAAACUAUGUAAAACUCUUGUGUUUAAUUUUUCUCUCUCUUUUAUAAUCUGAAUGUGCGUAAUUGUGAGUUUGCACUAAAAUCUUUCCAUGAUUUACCCUAUAGUACCCUAUUAUGCAGUUUGUAGCUGGAGAUUUUGUAACCUAUUAGUUAAGUUUUUAUAGGGGUUGGCAUACUCUUUCAAAGCCUGACUGUUUCUCUACUUAUUAUAUUUGUACAUAUAUAUCCAGUUUGUCUGCUGGAUACUUGCAACUAUCAGCCAUUGCUUAUGUACUGUUGUUUGGAUGAAUUUCCAUUUGAGGCAGUUACUCCAUUGUCUCUAAUAAUAGGUUAAAUGUUGUGCAGCUUGACCCAAAUUUUGUAGCAG